rnacentral:rRNA from 1 species
UACGUAGGGUGCGAGCGUUAAUCGGAAUUAUUGGGCGUAAAGAGCUCGUAGGCGGUGUGUCGCGUCGGCCGUGAAAACCUGCAGCUUAACUGUGGGCUUGCGGUCGAUACGGGCAUCACUGGAGUUCGGCAGGGGAGACUGGAAUUCCUGGUGUAGCGGUGAAAUGCGCAGAUAUCAGGAGGAACACCAGUGGCGAAGGCGGCUCACUGGACUGGUAUUGACGCUGAGGUGCGAAAGCGUGGGGAGCAAACAGG